rnacentral:rRNA from 1 species
GAGCUUCAGGCCUAACACAUGCAAGUCGAGCGGGCAUAGCAAUAUGUCAGCGGCAGACGGGUGAGUAACGCGUGGGAACGUACCUUUUGGUUCGGAACAACACAGGGAAACUUGUGCUAAUACCGGAUAAGCCCUUACGGGGAAAGAUUUAUCGCCGAAAGAUCGGCCCGCGUCUGAUUAGCUAGUUGGUGAGGUAAUGGCUCACCAAGGCGACGAUCAGUAGCUGGUCUGAGAGGAUGAUCAGCCACAUUGGGACUGAGACACGGCCCAAACUCCUACGGGAGGCAGCAGUGGGGAAUAUUGGACAAUGGGCGCAAGCCUGAUCCAGCCAUGCCGCGUGAGUGAUGAAGGCCCUAGGGUUGUAAAGCUCUUUUGUGCGGGAAGAUAAUGACGGUACCGCAAGAAUAAGCCCCGGCUAACUUCGUGCCAGCAGCCGCGGUAAUACGAAGGGGGCUAGCGUUGCUCGGAAUCACUGGGCGUAAAGGGUGCGUAGGCGGGUCUUUAAGUCAGGGGUGAAAUCCUGGAGCUCAACUCCAGAACUGCCUUUGAUACUGAAGAUCUUGAGUUCGGGAGAGGUGAGUGGAACUGCGAGUGUAGAGG